rnacentral:rRNA from 1 species
AGGACGAACGCUGGCGGCGUGCUUAACACAUGCAAGUCGAACGAUGACGGUGGUGCUUGCACUGCCUGAUUAGUGGCGAACGGGUGAGUAACACGUGAGUAACCUGCCCCUCACUUCGGGAUAACCUCGGGAAAUCGUGGCUAAUACCGGAUAUGAACUUCUACCGCAUGGUGGUUGUUGGAAAGAUUUAUCGGUGAGGGAUGGACUCGCGGCCUAUCAGUUUGUUGGUGAGGUAAUGGCUCACCAAGACGAUGACGGGUAGCCGGCCUGAGAGGGCGACCGGCCACACUGGGACUGAGACACGGCCCAGACUCCUACGGGAGGCAGCAGUGGGGAAUAUUGCACAAUGGGCGAAAGCCUGAUGCAGCGACGCCGCGUGGGGGAUGACUGCCUUCGGGUUGUAAACCUCUUUCAGUAGGGAAGAAGCGAAAGUGACGGUACCUGCAGAAGAAGCGCCGGCUAACUACGUGCCAGC